UACAGAGGGUGCAAGCGUUGUUCGGAAUUAUUGGGCGUAAAGCGCGUGUAGGCGGCUUUGCAAGUCGGGUGUGAAAGCCCUCGGCUCAACCGAGGAAGUGCGCCCGAAACUGCAUGGCUUGAGUACCGGAGAGGAUGGCGGAAUUCCCCAAGUAGAGGUGAAAUUCGUAGAUAUGGGGAGGAACACCGGUGGCGAAGGCGGCCAUCUGGACGGAUACUGACGCUGAGACGCGAAAGCGUGGGUAGCAAACAGG
rnacentral:rRNA from 1 species